rnacentral:rRNA from 1 species
AGGACGAACGCUGGCGGCGUGCUUCACACAUGCAAGUCGAACGGGGCUCAUUCGGUGGUAACACCGGAGAAGGCCUAGUGGCGAACGGGUGCGUAACACGUGAAGAACCUGCCCCGAAGACUGGGAUAACAGCGGGAAACCGCUGCUAAUACCGGAUGACCCCACCAGGCCGCAUGGCCAGGUGAGGAAAUGGGCCUACCGCUUCGGGAGGGCUUCGCGGCCUAUCAGCUUGUUGGUGGGGUAACGGCCUACCAAGGCUACGACGGGUAGCUGGUCUGAGAGGACGACCAGCCACACUGGGACUGAGACACGGCCCAGACUCCUACGGGAGGCAGCAGUGGGGAAUCUUGCGCAAUGGGCGAAAGCCUGACGCAGCAACGCCGCGUGAGGGAUGAAGGUCUUCGGGUUGUAAACCUCUUUCGAGCAGGGACGAUUGUGACGGUACCUGCAGAGAAGCUCCGGCCAACUACGUGCCAGCAGCCGCGGU